AAUGAAAAGCACAGUAAACAUAAGAUGGAGGAGAGAAAAACUAUUUAAAAAUUUAGCCUUUUGAAAUGAAAUGUCAAUACUUUGUAUUGUGAUCCAAUCACAUGAUUUUCCUACAAUAAACCCUUAUUUUUAUCAGUUUGUUUCUUAUAGGGAGCGGAAGAAAUCUUUCGAUCUUUAUUAGCUACUCUAUCUUUCCCCUCUCUGUUAAUCUGAUUUGAAUGUUCAAUUUUUUAUCACUUGCAAAUGGAUGGUCAAAGCUGAUUAAUUUUAGACUGUAAAAUAAACUGAAAUUAAAAGAUGAUAAUGAAUGCAAAACUAGGAUGAAAUAAGAUACCCGCUGGACAGACACAAAGUCAUGGCUCCGAUAGGUUCUAUUAUGAUUCCAGUGAAGUCUUCAAGAGUGAUAUACUACUUAUUAAUAGCUAUUUAAGACUUCAAACACAUACUACCAUUCAUUUUUUUUCCACUUCAGACUUCGUUUAGAGGUUCAUUUCGGAUUCAAAGGUUUUUCAUUUGCUAAGAAAAAUGGAGUUGCUUUUAGUUCUAAACUCAUAGCAUUGAUCAAUAGCAAAUUAAUAAGGCAAGCAUUAAAAAAAAAAAAAAAAAAAUUCUA